rnacentral:snoRNA from 1 species
CCUACCCCUAGAAGCCUUGCAAGUGUGGCUGCUCUGUCACAUGUGCAGUAAGUGGCAUAGAGGAGAGGGUCUGUGCUCAGUGUGCUGACCUAUGAACAUCUGAAUGAUUAGUAGUCUAACUUU